rnacentral:rRNA from 1 species
GAGGAAUAUUGCACAAUGGGCGAAAGCCUGAUGCAGCAACGCCGCGUGAGGGACGAAGGCCUUCGGGUCGUAAACCUCUUUUCUGAGGGACGAGAAAGGACGGUACCUCAGGAAUAAGUCUCGGCUAACUACGUGCCAGCAGCCGCGGUAACACGUAGGAGGCAAACGUUAUCCGGAAUUACUGGGCGUAAAGCGCACGCAGGCGGCAUCGUAAGUCCGACGUGAAAGCUCCCGGCUUAACUGGGAGAGGCCGUUGGAUACUGCGAAGCUCGAGGUUGGGAGAGGAGAGUGGAAUUCCCGGUGUAGUGGUGGAAUGCGUAGAUAUCGGGAGGAACUCCAGUGGCGAAAGCGACUCUCUGGCCUACACCUGACGCUAAAGUGCGAAAGCGUGGGUAGCGAAC